rnacentral:lncRNA from 1 species
AUCACUCAACAGCUCAUCAUCAUCAUCAUCAUCAAUGGCGAAGGUGCUCAUCCUCGCCGACGCCGGCUUCGCCAAACGCACAAUCUUCGCGACCUCGCUUCGCGCUGUCGCCUACUCCUGCAGCGCCUUCUUCAGCUUUCGCCUCUGCUCCAUCAAUUCCGCGAUGAUCCUCUCAUUACUCUCCCAGUCCCCAAUCCCUAAUCCCCAAAUCCCCCAUCCCUUUGCCGCCGCCGCCGCUGCCGCUGCCGCUCUUCGGCAAUGACGCCACCGUCAACUUCUUG